rnacentral:rRNA from 1 species
AGAGUUUGAUCAUGGCUCAGGAUGAACGCUAGCUACAGGCUUAACACAUGCAAGUCGAGGGGAAACGAUAUUGGAAGCUUGCUUCCGAUAGGCGUCGACCGGCGCACGGGUGAGUAACGCGUAUCCAACCUGCCCACCACUUGGGGAUAACCUUGCGAAAGUAAGACUAAUACCCAAUGAUAUCUCUAGAAGACAUCUGAAAGAGAUUAAAGAUUUAUCGGUGAUGGAUGGGGAUGCGUCUGAUUAGCUUGUUGGCGGGGUAACGGCCCACCAUGGCAACGAUCAGUAGGGGUUCUGAGAGGAAGGUCCCCCACAUUGGAACUGAGACACGGUCCAAACUCCUACGGGAGGCAGCAGUGAGGAAUAUUGGUUAAUGGACGAGAGUCUGAACCAGCCAAGUAGCGUGCAGGAAGACGGCCCUAUGGGUUGUAAACUGCUUUUAUAAGGGAAUAAAGUGAGAGUCGUGACUCUUUUUGCAUGUACCUUAUGAAUAAGGACCGGCUAAUUCCGUGCCAGCAGCCGCGGUAAUACGGAAGGUCCGGGCGUUAUCCGGAUUUAUUGGGUUUAAAGGGAGCGUAAGCCGGAGAUUAAGCGUGUUGUGAAAUGUAGACGCUCAACGUCUGCACUGCAGCGCGAACUGGUUUCCUUGAGUACGCACAAAGUGGGCGGAAUUCGUGGUGUAGCGGUGAAAUGCUUAGAUAUCACGAAGAACUCCGAUUGCGAAGGCAGCUCACUGGAGCGCAACUGACGCUGAAGCUCGAAAGUGCGGGUAUCGAACAGGAUUAGAUACCCUGGUAGUCCGCACGGUAAACGAUGGAUGCCCGCUGUUGGUCUGAAUAGGUCAGCGGCCAAGCGAAAGCAUUAAGCAUCCCACCUGGGGAGUACGCCGGCAACGGUGAAACUCAAAGGAAUUGACGGGGACCCGCACAAGCGGUGGAGCAUGUGGUUUAAUUCGAAGCAACGCGAAGAACCUUACCAAAUCUUGACAUCCCGGUGACAAACUGUGUAAAGCAGUCUUUCCUCGGAACACCGGUGACAGGUGGUGCAUGGUUGUCGUCAGCUCGUGUCGUGAGAUGUUGGGUUAAGUCCCGCAACGAGCGCAACCCCUAUCCUUAGUAGCCAGCAGUAAGAUGGGCACUCUAGGGAGACUGCCGGGGAUAACCCGGAGGAAGGUGGGGAUGACGUCAAAUCAUCAUGCCCCUUAUGAUUUGGGCUACACACGUGCUACAAUGGCGUAAACAAAGGGAAGCGAGCCUGCGAGGGGGAGCAAAUCCCAAAAAUAACGUCUCAGUUCGGAUUGUAGUCUGCAACUCGACUACAUGAAGCUGGAAUCGCUAGUAACCGCAGAUCAGAAUGCUGCGGUGAAUACGUUCCCGGGUCUUGUACACACCGCCCGUCACACCAUGGGAGUCGGAAAUGCCCGAAGCCGGUGACCUAACCGCAAGGAAGGAGCCGUCGAAGGCAGGUCUGAUAACUGGGGUGAAGUCGUAACAAGGUA